GCAGCAGCAUCGGUCUCAUCAUGCGCCUCAGCUAUCUCAUCCUCGCUGCCUUCCUGAGGCAGCCACUGGGCACCAUGGGGCAGGUCACUGUCACCCAGCAAGAAGGACAAGCCACAGUGAAGCAGGGAGACACCUUCCACACCAACUGCACAUACCAUUCACCUACAUUCAAUGGUUUACUCUGGUACCAGCAGAAGAAAGGCCAAGCUCCCCAGCUGCUCUCGUACCACGCAGCAGCUGGCUCCAAGCUCAGCGGCCGUCUGACCACGCUGCUGAGCACCACGGGCAAAUACAGCCUGCUGCGGCUGGAGGAAGUCGAGGUCUCUGACAGUGCCUUGUACCUCUGUGCUGUGAGUGACACCACGGUGCAGGAGCUUGCUUGGCUGUGCAAGAAGCCAGGGGAGGGAGGGGAUGUGGCUGGGCAAGGCUGA